GCUUCUGUGUGUGUCUGUGAGGUUGUGUUUGUUGGUGAGCUGGUAACGAGCUUGUGUGUGUCAGUGAGCUUGUUUGUAGUGAGCUUGUGUGAGUUAGAGAGCUUCUGUGUGUUCCAGUGAGCUUGUCUGCAGUGAUCCUGUGUGUGUCAGAGCUUCUGUGUGUGUCAGUGAUCUUAUCUUUAGUGAGCUUGUAUGUAUCAGUGAUUUUGACUUGAGUGAGCUUGUGUGUG